CCUACGGGCGACAGCAGUGGGGAAUAUUGCACAAUGGGGGAAACCCUGAUGCAGCAACGCCGCGUGAGUGAUGACGGCCCUCGGGUUGUAAAGCUCUGUCUUCAGGGACGAUAAUGACGGUACCUGAGGAGGAAGCCACGGCUAACUACGUGCCAGCAGCCGCCGGAAUACGUCGGUGGCGAGCGUUGUCCGGAUUUACUGGGCGUAAAGGGGGCGUAGGCGGACUUUUAAGUGAGAUGUGAAAUAAUCGGGCUCAAAUUGAGUGCUGCAAUUCAAACUGUAAGUCUAGAGUGCAGGAGAGGAGGAUGGAAUUCGUAGUGUAGCGGUGAAAUGCGUAGAGAUUAGGAAGAACACCAGUGGCGAAGGCGAUUCUCUGGACUGUAACUGACGCUGAGGCUCGAAAGCGUGGGGAGCAAACAGGAUUAGAUACCCUAGUAGUC
rnacentral:rRNA from 1 species